rnacentral:rRNA from 1 species
AGAGUUUGAUCAUGGCUCAGAAUCAACGCUGGCGGCGCGCUUAACACAUGCAAGUCGAGCGAGAAAGUGGAGCAAUCCAUGAGUACAGCGGCGUACGGGUGAGUAACACGUGGAUGAUCUACCUUUUAGUGGGGAAUAACCCUGGGAAACCGGGGCUAAUACCGCAUAAUCCUGAGAAGGGAAAGCAGCAAUGCGCUGAAAGAGGAGUCCGCGGCCGAUUAGCUAGUUGGUGAGGUAAAGGCUCACCAAGGCGGUGAUCGGUAGCCGGCCUGAGAGGGCACACGGCCACACUGGUACUGAAACACGGGCCAGACUCCUACGGGAGGCAGCAGUGGGGAAUCUUGCACAAUGGAGGCAACUCUGAUGCAGCGACGCCGCGUGAGCGAUGAAGCCCUUCGGGGUGUAAAGCUCUUUCGGCAGGGACGAUAAUGACGGUACCUGAAGAAGAAGCUGCGGCUAACUACGUGCCAGCAGCCGCGGUAAUACGUAGGCAGCGAGCGUUGUUCGGAAUUACUGGGCGUAAAGAGUGUGUAGGCGGUGCUCUAAGUUCGGUGUGAAAUCUCCUGGCUCAACUGGGAGGGUGCGCCGGAAACUGGAGUGCUUGAGCGUGGGAGAGGAAAGCGGAAUUCCUGGUGUAGCGGUGAAAUGCGUAGAUAUCAGGAGGAACACCUGUGGUGUAGACGGCUUUCUGGACCAUAGCUGACGCUGAGACACGAAAGCGUGGGUAGCAAACAGGAUUAGAUACCCCGGUAGUCC